AUUGGGCGUUAAGUUGCAGGGUAUAGACCCGAAACCCGGUGAUCUAGCCAUGGGCAGGUUGAAGGUUGGGUAACACUAACUGGAGGACCGAACCGACUAAUGUUGAAAAAUUAGCGGAUGACCUGUGGCUGGGGGUGAAAGGCCAAUCAAACCGGGAGAUAGCUGGUUCUCCCCGAAAGCUAUUUAGGUAGCGCCUCGUGAAUUCAUCUCCGGGGGUAGAGCACUGUUUCGGCCAGGGGGCCAUCCCGGCUUACCAAUCCGAUGCAAACUGCGAAUACCGGAGAAUGUUAUCACGGGAGACACACGGCGGGUGCUAACGUCCGUCGUGAAGAGGGAAACAACCCAGACCGCCAGCUAAGGUCCCAAAGUCAUGGUUAAGUGGGAAACGAUGUGGGAAGGCCCAGACAGCCAGGAUGUUGGCUUAGAAGCAGCCAUCAUUUAAAGAAAGCGUAAUAGCUCACUGGUCGAGUCGGCCUGCGCGGAAGAUGUAACGGGGCUAAACCAUGCACCGAAGCUGCGGCAGCGAACGUAUCACCCAAGACAACUUUACACAGUUGACGACUGACGGAGCGAAGCGACGUCAAAGCGUUUUACAACGUCGAGUUGGCUUAGGGAUACGUUCGUUGGGUAGGGGAGCGUUCUGUAAGCCGUUGAAGGUGUGUCGUGAGGCAUGCUGGAGGUAUCAGAAGUGCGAAUGCUGACAUAAGUAACGAUAAAGCGGGUGAAAAGCCCGCUCGCCGGAAGACCAAGGGUUCCUGUCCAACGUUAAUCGGGGCAGGGUGAGUCGACCCCUAAGGCGAGGCCGAAAGGCGUAGUCGAUGGGAAACGGGUUAAUAUUCCCGUACUUGGUGUUACUGCGAAGGGGGGACGGAGAAGGCUAUGUUGGCCGGGCGACGGUUGUCCCGGUUUAAGCGUGUAGGUGUGUGUUCCAGGUAAAUCCGGUUCACUUUAACACUGAGGCGUGAUGACGAGGCACCACGGUGCUGAAGCAACAAAUGCCCUGCUUCCAGGAAAAGCCUCUAAGCCUCAGGUAACAUCAAAUCGUACCCCAAACCGACACAGGUGGUCAGGUAGAGAAUACCAAGGCGCUUGAGAGAACUCGGGUGAAGGAACUAGGCAAAAUGGUGCCGUAACUUCGGGAGAAGGCACGCUGACACGUAGGUGAAGUGGUUUACCCAUGGAGCUGAAGUCAGUCGAAGAUACCAGCUGGCUGCAACUGUUUAUUAAAAACACAGCACUGUGCAAACACGAAAGUGGACGUAUACGGUGUGACGCCUGCCCGGUGCCGGAAGGUUAAUUGAUGGGGUCAGCGCAAGCGAAGCUCCUGAUCGAAGCCCCGGUAAACGGCGGCCGUAACUAUAACGGUCCUAAGGUAGCGAAAUUCCUUGUCGGGUAAGUUCCGACCUGCACGAAUGGCGUAAUGAUGGCCAGGCUGUCUCCACCCGGGACUCAGUGAAAUUGAACUCGCUGUGAAGAUGCAGUGUACCCGCGGCAAGACGGAAAGACCCCGUGAACCUUUACUAUAGCUUGACACUGAACACUGGUCCUUGAUGUGCAGGAUAGGUGGGAGGCUUUGAAGUGUGGACGCCAGUCUGCAUGGAGCCAUCCUUGAAAUACCACCCUUUAAUGGCUGGUGUUCUAACGUGGGCCCGUGAACCGGGUUGCGGACAGUGUCUGGUGGGUAGUUUGACUGGGGCGGUCUCCUCCUAAAGAGUAACGGAGGAGCACGAAGGUUGGCUAAUCCUGGUCGGACAUCAGGAGGUUAGUGCAAUGGCAUAAGCCAGCUUGACUGCGAGCGUGACGGCGCGAGCAGGUGCGAAAGCAGGUCAUAGUGAUCCGGUGGUUCUGAAUGGAAGGGCCAUCGCUCAACGGAUAAAAGGUACUCCGGGGAUAACAGGCUGAUACCGCCCAAGAGUUCAUAUCGACGGCGGUGUUUGGCACCUCGAUGUCGGCUCAUCACAUCCUGGGGCUGAAGUAGGUCCCAAGGGUAUGGCUGUUCGCCAUUUAAAGUGGUACGCGAGCUGGGUUUAGAACGUCGUGAGACAGUUCGGUCCCUAUCUGCCGUGGGCGCUGGAAGAUUGAGGGGGGCUGCUCCUAGUACGAGAGGACCGGAGUGGACGCAUCACUGGUGUU
rnacentral:rRNA from 1 species